CCUACGGGUGGCAGCAGUCGAGAAUCAUUCACAAUGGGGGAAACCCUGAUGGUGCGACGCCGCGUGGGGGAAUGAAGGUCUUCGGAUUGUAAACCCCUGUCAUGUGGGAGCAAAUUAAAAAGAUAGUACCCCAAGAGGAAGAGACGGCUAAAUCUGUGCCAGCAGCCGCGGUAAUACGGAGGUCUAAAGCGUUGUUCGGAAUCACUGGGCGUAAAGCGUGCGUAUGCUGUUUCGUAAGUCGUGUGUGAAAGGCGCGGGCUCAACCCGCGGACGGCACAUGAUACUGCGAGACUAGAGUAAUGGAGGGGGAACCGGAAUUCUCGGUGUAGCAGUGAAAUGCGUAGAUAUCGAGAGGAACACUCGUGGCGAAGGCGGGUUCCUGGACAUUAACUGACGCUGAGGCACGAAGGCCAGGGGAGCGAAAGGGAUUAGAUACCCCAGUAGUC
rnacentral:rRNA from 1 species